rnacentral:rRNA from 1 species
AUUGAACGCUGGCGGAAUGCUUUACACAUGCAAGUCGAACGGCAGCACGGACUUCGGUCUGGUGGCGAGUGGCGAACGGGUGAGUAAUGUAUCGGAACGUGCCCAGUCGUGGGGGAUAACGUAGUGAAAAUUACGCUAAUACCGCAUACGAUCUAUGGAUGAAAGCGGGGGAUCGCAAGACCCCGCGCGAUUGGAGCGGCCGAUAUAAGAUUAGGUAGUUGGUGGGGUAAAGGCCCACCAAGCCAACGAUCUGUAGCUGGUCUGAGAGGACGACCAGCCACACUGGAACUGAGACACGGUCCAGACGCCUACGGGAGGCAGCAGUGGGGAAUUUUGGACAAUGGGCGAAAGCCUGAUCCAGCCAUUCCGCGUGCAGGAUGAAGGCCCUCGGGUUGUAAACUGCUUUUGUACAGAACGAAAAGGUUUCUACUAAUACUAGGAGCUCAUGACGGUACUGUAAGAAUAAGCACCGGCUAACUACGUGCCAGCCGCCGCCGUAA